rnacentral:rRNA from 1 species
UAGGGAAUAUUGCACAAUGGAGGAAACUCUGAUGCAGCGACGCCGCGUGAGUGAUGAAGGACUUCGGUUCGUAAAGCUCUGUUGCAAGGGAAAAAGCAAGUGAUUGUACCUUGCGAGAAAGGGUCGGCUAACUUCGUGCCAGCAGCCGCGGUAAGACGAGGGACCCUAGCGUUGUUCGGAAUCAUUGGGCGUAAAGCGGGUGUAGGUGGCUUUGUAAGUCAGGUGUGAAAGCCCAGGGCUCAACCCUGGA